rnacentral:rRNA from 1 species
AGCGAACGCUGGCGGCAGGCUUAACACAUGCAAGUCGAGCGGGCACUUUCGGGUGUCAGCGGCGGACGGGUGAGUAACGCGUGGGAACGUGCCCUGGUGUGCGGUAUAACAGGGGAAAACGUGCGAAAACCGGGGAUACGCCCUUGUGGGGAAAGGCUUGCUGCCGGAGGAUCGGCCCGCGUCUGAUUAGCUAGUUGGUGAGGUAACGGCUCACCAAGGCGACGAUCAGUAGCUGGUCUGAGAGGAUGAUCAGCCACACUGGGACUGAGACACGGCCCAGACUCCUACGGGAGGCAGCAGUGGGGAAUAUUGGACAAUGGGCGCAAGCCUGAUCCAGCCAUGCCGCGUGAGUGAUGAAGGCCUUAGGGUUGUAAAGCUCUUUUAUCCGGGACGAUAAUGACGGUACCGGAGGAAUAAGCCCCGGCUAACUUCGUG